AAAUGCGAUAAGUAAUGUGCAUUGCAGAAUUCAGUGAAUCAUCGAAUCUUUGAACGCACAUUGCGCCCCCUGGCAUUCCGGGGGGCAUGCCUGUUCGAGCGUCAUUACACCACUCAAGCCUGGCUUGGUAUUGAGCGCCGCGGCCUGCCCGCGCGCUCCAAUGUCUCCGGCUGAGCCGUCCGUCUCUAAGCGUUGUGAAUAGCGAUCGCUUGCGAGGCCCGGGCGGUUCGACGCCGUUAAACCCCCCAUUUUCUAUGGUUGACCUCGGAUCAGGUAGGGAUACCCGCUGAACUUAAGC
rnacentral:misc_RNA from 1 species